GACAGAGGUGCCAAGCGUUAGGCGGAAUCACUGGGCUUAAAGCGUGUGUAGGCGGAUGCCUAAGUACCUUGUGAAAUCCCACGGCUCAACCGUGGAACUGCUGGGUAUACUGGGUGUCUUGGGUCAGCUAGGGGUUGCCGGAACAAAUGGUGGAGCGGUGAAAUGCGUAGAUAUCCGGAGGAAUACCAAAGGCGAAGGCAGUGUCCUGGCUGGCAUCUGACGCUGAGGCGCGAAAGCGUGGGGAGCGAACCGG
rnacentral:rRNA from 1 species